GGUACAGACGGGUAGAUAUUGUGGUUAGGUGGGGAGGUAGGGGGGCAGGAUCUCGGUCUUUAUCAGAGAACCCCCCUGGGCUGGACGGUCUUUUACUCCCGAGGACCUGAAGACAGCCAGUCCCGCUGGGAGGAGGGGGAGGCAGGGGGAUGGUAUUUGCGCCAAUGCAGACAGAAGCAGACGGGCUUAGACAGUGCUGGAGGCAAGAGUGACCGACAAUUUCUCCCCACGUACACUCGCGCUUCUCUCGCUCCUCAUCCUUGUUUGAGGGCGUCCUCAGAGGUGGGACAGCCGGGGACAGAUGGGGACUCCAGAGUCCCCGCGUCCGGGCAGGAGGAGCCAGUAGCUACCUGCAGUGAAGCACAGAAAAGUGCAAAAGGGCUCUCGGCGCUGGAGAUCCAAAGGAUCCAGUCGAAGGUUGAAGGCCUGGAGUUUUCUGUGGAGUCCUGUGUGAGUCGGUAUCAGCAAGCUGAAGUCUGCACUGGAAGCCAGAAGGUACAUGACAUCCAACGUGAAGACUGGUGCUCCUCUGAAGAAACAGAAGCAAGGCUCUCUUCUUCGUUUCUCUUUUAUACUAUUCAGGAGCCAAUCCUCCCUAGGGUGGAUCUUCCAC
rnacentral:lncRNA from 1 species